rnacentral:rRNA from 1 species
AACGAACGCUGGCGGCGUGGAUAAGACAUGCAAGUCGAACGCUAAUUUCGGGGUAGCAAUAUUCCGGAGUUGGAGUGGCGAAAGGGUGCGUAACAUGUGGGUAAUCUGCCGUGAAGUUUGGGAUAACUUGCUGAAAGGCGAGCUAAUACCGGAUGUAAUCGCUAAGGGAUUCCUCUUGGCGAUUAAAGUUGGGGACCGCAAGGCCUGACGCUUCACGAUGAGCCCGCAUCCUANCAGCUAGUUGGUGAGGUAACGGCUCACCAAGGCUAAGACGGGUAGCUGGUCUGAGAGGACGACCAGCCACACUGGAACUGAGACACGGUCCAGACACCUACGGGUGGCAGCAGUCGAGAAUUUUUCACAAUGGGCGAAAGCCUGAUGGAGCGACGCCGCGGUGGGGGAUGGAAGGGCUUCGGUCCGUAAACCCCUGUCAUUUGCGAACAAACCUUUCCACCCAAUACGUGGAGAGCUGAUUGUAGCGAAAGA